CGGUUGAUCCUGCCGGAGGUUACUGCUAUCGGAGUUCGAUUAAGCCAUGCGAGUCUAAAGGUUUCUUCGGAAGCCUUGGCGGACUGCUCAGUAACACGUGGAUAACCUACCCUUGGGACUGGAAUAACCCCGGGAAACUGGGGAUAAUACCGGAUAGAUCAGGGAUGCUGGAAUGCACCUUGAUCCAAAGCUCCGGCGCCCAAGGAUGGGUCUGCGGCCUAUCAGGUUGUAGUGGGUGUAACGUACCUACUAGCCGACGACGGGUACGGGUUGUGAGAGCAAGAGCCCGGAGAUGGAUUCUGAGACACGAAUCCAGGCCCUACGGGGUGCAGCAGGCGCGAAACCUUUACAAUGUGCGAAAGCAUGAUAAGGGAACUCCGAGUGCCAGUAUCUAAUACUGGCUGUCCUUGUGCCUAAACCGCACAAGAUAGCAAGGGCCGGGUAAGACCGGUGCCAGCCGCCGCGGUAACACCGGCGGCCCGAGUGGUAGCCGCUAUUAUUGGGUCUAAAGGGUCCGUAGCCGGUUCGAUAAGUCCUCUGGGAAAUCUGGUUGCUUAACAAUCAGACUGCCAAGGGAUACUGUUGAACUUGAGACCGGGAGAGGUAAGAGGUACUUCAGGGGUAGGAGUGAAAUCUUGUAAUCCCUGGGGGACCAUCUGUGGCGAANGCGUCUUACCAGAACGGGUCUGACGGUGAGGGACGAAAGCUGGGGGCGCAAACCGGAUUAGAUACCCGGGUAGUCCCAGCCGUAAACGAUGCUCGCUAUGUGUCANGUACGGUGUGACCGUAUCUGGUGCCGUNGGGAAGCCGUGAAGCGAGCCACCUGGGAAGUACGGUCGCAAGACUGAAACUUANGGAAUUGGNGGGGAGCAC
rnacentral:rRNA from 1 species